GACGAACGCUGGCGGCGUGCUUAACACAUGCAAGUCGAACGGAAAAGCCUCUUUCGGGGGGUACUCGAGUGGCGAACGGGUGAGUAACACGUGAGUAACCUGCCCUUGACUUUGGGAUAACUUCAGGAAACUGGGGCUAAUACCGGAUAGGAGCUCCUGCUGCAUGGUGGGGGUUGGAAAGUUUCGGCGGUUGGGGAUGGACUCGCGGCUUAUCAGCUUGUUGGUGGGGUAGUGGCUUACCAAGGCUUUGACGGGUAGCCGGCCUGAGAGGGUGACCGGCCACAUUGGGACUGAGAUACGGCCCAGACUCCUACGGGAGGCAGCAGUGGGGAAUAUUGCACAAUGGGUGGAAGCCUGAUGCAGCAACGCCGUGUGCGGGAUGACGGCCUUCGGGUUGUAAACCGCUUUCGCUCAUGACGAAGCUUUGUGUGACGGUAGUGGGUAAAGAAGCACCGGCUAACUACGUG
rnacentral:rRNA from 1 species